UACGUAGGGUGCUAGCGUUGUCCGGAUUUAUUGGGCGUAAAGAGCGUGUAGGCGGCUUGGCAAGUCUGCUGUGAAAACUCGAGGCUCAACUUCGAGCUGUCGGUGGAAACUGCUUGGCUAGAGUCCGGAAGAGGAGAGUGGAAUUCCUGGUGUAGCGGUGAAAUGCGCAGAUAUCAGGAAGAACACCUAUGGCGAAGGCAGCUCUCUGGGACGGUACUGACGCUGAGAGGCGAAAGCGUGGGGAGCGAACAGG
rnacentral:rRNA from 1 species